rnacentral:tRNA from 1 species
CCUUCGAUAGCUCUGUUGGUAGAGUGGAGGACUGUAGAUCCUUAGGUCGCUGGUUCGACUCCGGCUCGAAGGA